UUGCCCCAAAGCCUGACUUUGAGUGUUUGGUGAGCAGACCUGCUAGCUACUGGGUGCUACUGCAUCAAAAAGCGACAUCAGUGUGUAAAGGAUAUCACCAAAUGGGCUCAGGAAGACUUCAGAAAACCACGCUGCCUCCACAAGCACCAGCAGUGGGACCUUUCCCAGGAUCGUCACCUACAGAUGGGACUCAGGAGAAGCAUGACGCCCUGGAGGACAGUUCGGGGAAUGGAUGGCCACGUUCGCAGCUAUAAAUUCACCGCUUCCUCCCGACAGCAUCCAUCAUGUUGCACACAACAUGCAGCACUCAACGAAACACGUGAAAUAAGUUCAUUAUUAUAGUGGAUAUUUCAUAAUGCAACCGUUCUCUUACUCCUUAUUGCACAGGUGCAUGUAUAUUGCAGUCCUUCCUCGUUUAUUACCGUAUUUUUCCGAGUAUAAGUCGCUCCGGAGUAUAAGUCGCACCGGCCGAAAAUGCAUAAUAAAGAAGGAAAAAAACAUAUAUAAGUCGCAUUUUUUGGGGAAAUUUAUUUGAC